CGGGCAAACAUGCAAGUUCGAGCGGAUGAAGGGAGCUUGCUCCUGGAUUUCAGCGGCGGACGGGUGAGUAAUGCCUAGGAAUCUGCCUGGUAGUGGGGGAUAACGUUCCGAAAGGAACGCUAAUACCGCAUACGUCCUACGGGAGAAAGCAGGGGACCUUCGGGCCUUGCGCUAUCAGAUGAGCCUAGGUCGGAUUAGCUAGUUGGUGAGGUAAUGGCUCACCAAGGCGACGAUCCGUAACUGGUCUGAGAGGAUGAUCAGUCACACUGGAACUGAGACACGGUCCAGACUCCUACGGGAGGCAGCAGUGGGGAAUAUUGGACAAUGGGCGAAAGCCUGAUCCAGCCAUGCCGCGUGUGUGAAGAAGGUCUUCGGAUUGUAAAGCACUUUAAGUUGGGAGGAAGGGCUGUAGGCUAAUAUCCUGCGGUUUUGACGUUACCAACAGAAUAAGCACCGGCUAACUUCGUGCCAGCAGCCGCGGUAAUACGAAGGGUGCAAGCGUUAAUCGGAAUUACUGGGCGUAAAGCGCGCGUAGGUGGUUCGUUAAGUUGGAUGUGAAAGCCCCGGGCUCAACCUGGGAACUGCAUCCAAAACUGGCGAGCUAGAGUACGGUAGAGGGUAGUGGAAUUUCCUGUGUAGCGGUGAAAUGCGUAGAUAUAGGAAGGAACACCAGUGGCGAAGGCGACUACCUGGACUGAUACUGACACUGAGGUGCGAAAGCGUGGGGAGCAAACAGGAUUAGAUACCCUGGUAGU
rnacentral:rRNA from 1 species